GACGAACCGGUGCGAACGUUGUUCGGAAUCACUGGGCAUAAAGGGCGCGUAGGCGGCUUUUCAAGUCAGGGGUGAAUCCGGACAGCUCAACUGUCGAAGUGCCCUUGAUACUGAUGAGCUCGAGGGAGGUAGGGGUAUGUGGAACUUCCGGUGGAGCGGUGAAAUGACGUUGAUAUCGGAAGGAACGCCGGUGGCGAAAGACGACGUACUGGACCUCUUCUGACGCUGAGGCGCGAAAGCUAGGGGAGCAAACGGG
rnacentral:rRNA from 1 species